rnacentral:rRNA from 1 species
AGUUUGAUCAUGGCUCAGAUUGAACGCUGGCGGCAUGCCUUACACAUGCAAGUCGAACGGUAACAGGUCUUCGGAUGCUGACGAGUGGCGAACGGGUGAGUAAUACAUCGGAACGUGCCCGAUCGUGGGGGAUAACGAAGCGAAAGCUUUGCUAAUACCACAUACGAUCUACGGAUGAAAGCAGGGGACCGCAAGGCCUUGCGCGAACGGAGCGGCCGAUGGCAGAUUAGGUAGUUGGUGGGAUAAAAGCUUACCAAGCCGACGAUCUGUAGCUGGUCUGAGAGGACGACCAGCCACACUGGGACUGAGACACGGCCCAGACUCCUACGGGAGGCAGCAGUGGGGAAUUUUGGACAAUGGGCGAAAGCCUGAUCCAGCAAUGCCGCGUGUGUGAAGAAGGCCUUCGGGUUGUAAAGCACUUUUAUCAGGAACGAAAAGCGUUGGAUCAAUACUCUGACGUGCUGACGGUACCUGAGGAAUAAGCACCGGCUAACUUCGUG